UACAGAGGUCCCAAGCGUUGUUCGGAUUCACUGGGCGUAAAGGGUGCGUAGGCGGUCGGGUAAGUCUGAUGUGAAAUCUCACAGCUUAACUGUGAAACUGCAUUGGAUACUAUCCGGCUUGAGGAAUGGAGGGGAGACUGGAAUACUUGGUGUAGCAGUGAAAUGCGUAGAUAUCAAGUGGAACACCAGUGGCGAAGGCGAGUCUCUGGACAUUACCUGACGCUGAGGCACGAAAGCCAGGGGAGCAAACGGG
rnacentral:rRNA from 1 species